GUUCACAUUAGCAACACAUGCUAAAAUUGGAACAAUACAGAGAAAAUUAGCAUGGUCCUGUGCAAGGAUAACAUGCAAAUUCAUGAAGCAUUCCUUAUUUUU